GAGUUUGAUUCUGGCUCAGGAUGAACGCACAAGACGCGCCUAACACAUGCAAAUCGAAUGAAAAUAAUUAAUUAUUGUUUUCAUGGUGAACGGGUGAGUAACACAUAAGAAUCAGCUUUUAGAUAAGGCAUAAAAGAGUAAUAUCUUGGUAAUUCCUUAUAUGCGCAGCAGUGCUUAAAAAGGGGAGUCCCGUCUAAAAACGAGCUUAUGCCUGAUUAGCUAGUUGGCGAGUUAAAAGCUCACCAAGGCGAAGAUCAGUAGCUGGCCUGAGAGGGCGGCCAGCCACAUUGGGACUGAGACACGGCCCAAACUCCUACGGGAGGCAGCAGUGGGGAAUCUUCUGCAAUGGGCGCAAGCCUGACAGAGCGGCGUCGUGUGAAGGAAGAAGGCCUGAAGUAGGUUGUAAACUUCUUUUACUGAGUAAUGAAUAAUGACAACGCAGUAAAAAAGUAUCGGCUAACUCCGUGCCAGCAGCCGCGGUAAUAUGGGGGAUGCAAGCGUUAUCCGGAAUAACUGGGCGUAAAGCGUCUGUAGGUGGUUUAGUGUGUUCUUAGUUAAAUUCUGAAGCCUAACUUCAUGAAAAGUAAGAAAACUAUUAGACUUGAGUACGAUAGGGGUAAGAGGAAUUCUUCGAGAAGUAGUGAAAUGCGAAGAUACGAAGGAGAAGAUCAUAAGCGAAGGCUUCUUACUGAGUCGUAACUGACACUGAGAGACGAAAGCUAGGGGAGCGAAUGGGAUUAGAUACCCCAGUAGUCCUAGCUGUAAACGAUGGAUAUUCGGUGCCGGAAAUUUUAUUAGAACAUUUCGGUACCCUAGCUAACGCGUUAAAUAUCCCGCCUGAGGAGUACGCUCGCAAGGGUGAAACUCAAAGGAAUUGACGGGGGCUCGCACAAGCGGUGGAGCAUGUGGUUUAAUUCGAUGCAAAGCGAAGAACCUUACCAGGGCUUGACAGUAUGUAU
rnacentral:rRNA from 1 species